rnacentral:lncRNA from 1 species
GUGCUCUGGGCCUUUCUAUCCCUUCCUCUCUGCACCUCGAAGGUGGCCCAGGAGGACGCCCAGUGCCUGGAGCUGUCACGGAGCAGCAGCAUUGAACUGGGGGAGCCACGGCGCCCACUGAGGAGCCCCCAACGGCGCCCACUGAGGAGCCCCCAACGUGCCACAUCCCCCCAUCAAGGGGCGUCCCCACCACAUACCCGCUCCCCGACCACCCUGGACCCUGUACUGCAGGCCGUGCGGGCAGCCAUUGAGAGGCGGCGGCGGCGGGAACAGGUGGGCAGCCACAGCCCGCAGGAUCCCCUGUCUCCCUGAGGGCAGAAACAUGAGCCCCUCAGGCUGAAGGGUAGUUAUGGGGCCUGCCCCUGAGCCCCAUGGACCCAGGGAGGGGCUCCAGUGUGUGUGUGGGGGGUCCUUUUGGGGAGUCUCAAGCCCUGGUGUGCCUCAGUGGGCAAAGCUUGCCUAGGUCAGAGGGACCCACACCGCACCCCACCCGAGCAGGAGCUGUGCCUGCAGCUGGAGUCCUCCCAGGCACUGGCAGCCGGGCUCCGGGAACAGCUGUCCGAGUGCCGGCAGGAGCUGUGGGCUGCACAGAAGCUCCAGCAGGAGCGGGCUCGGGAACAGGCACGGGAACGAGAGGCCCUUCGGGGCCAGCUGGAGGCCCAGAGGCUCGAGGUGCAGCAGUGCCGGGCGUCCUGCAAGCUCCUGGGGAGGGAGAAGGCUGCUCUGCAGAUGGCGGUGGAGGAGCUGAGAGGAAAGGCAGACGCUGCAGAUGUGGAGAAGCAGGGGCUGGAGGCAGAGGCCACGGAGCUACAGAGAAGCCUCCUGCUGCAGGCAGAGCGGAGGGAGAAGCUGGCUCUGCAGAGGGAGCGGAGCUGCAGGGCACUGGAGACCAGGUGCACAGCGGUGGCUGGGUAGACAGGGCCCCUCCUACAGGAGAGACCCCACUCUGCCACCAUCAGCCACUUGGCCCUGGGCCACGGGUCUGCUUCUUUACCUGUCUCAUCUCAGGGUGUGGUGGCGGCCCUAACAGGGCAGGGGCGGGGACUCUCCAGGCUCCUCCCCAGGCUGCACCAUCCUCCAGACCAAUCCUCACUCCCUCUGGCCCAGUGCCCCACUUGGGUGCACAUCUACCACCCUGUGGGCCCAGCAGAUGUGGAGCCCCAUCCGUCCUGUCCCCCUGGAGGCACCUGUGCCUCCCCUGACCCAGAAACGAAGCCCGGAAGCAAAGGGUUCCCUGCCUUCCUGGUCCUCCAGGGACUCCAUGCUCCUCCUGGGCCUCCCUGGGCUUGGAGGGAGUUGCAGGCGGUUGCCUGCCUGAAAUCCCAUGGGGCAGCCGCUGCUAACCCUGAGGGACCUCCCGCCCUCUGGUCUGCGGCCUUAGUCAAGGCCGCCUGCAGCAGCUGGAGGAGAAGGUCUCUGGCCUCAGAGAGGAGCUGGCAUCAGCCCGGGAGGCACUGAGCACAGCACAGCUGCAGCGGGAUGUCGUGGAGAGCGAGAGGGAGGGCUUGCGCAGCGCCCUGGCGCGGGUAUGCCUCUGCUCCCCCCAACCCCACCCCCGCUCCCAUCUGCCCCCACCCACCCCAGCCUCACUGACCUGGCAUCCCACUCCCUCUCUCUUGCCUGCCGGGACCCUCAGCCCAUCACCAGAGCUCCCAAAGUCACCAAAGGCCUCUCCCAUCCCCAACCAGUAGGCACCAGCCUGGCCCAGCUGCUCUCAACCCUGCUGGCCACGUCUGCUUCUUCGUGGCUUCUCACUGGCCCACCAGCCACCUCCUCUGGCUGGAGCCUCAGUGUCUGGAGCCACCAUUGGUCCUGAGACCUCCCCACUGUGGCGACCUUCCCACCAUGUCUGCCCAGGAGCUCUGGCUUGCGCACCUCUGCAGCUCUGGGCUCACUCCUUUCCCACCACAACAGCCCUGCCCUGGAAGCUAAAGGUCCCUCUCUGGCAUCCCCCUCCCUGCCCCAGGCCGAGUGCAGCAAUGCGGACCUGGAGCUUCUUGUGAGG